rnacentral:rRNA from 1 species
CACGUAGUCUGCCAUACGCAGGAAGACCCGCUG